rnacentral:tRNA from 4 species
GGGUGAUUAGCUCAGUUGGUAGAGUCCCUCCCUUACAAGGAGGUUGUCGGCGGUUCGAGUCCGUCAUCACCCA